AAAAUUGCUGUUAAUUUACGUCAAAAUUUUAACAGUAUAAACCCGUUAUUUUAAAAAGCAGUGCUUACCUGUUUAUUUACGUUCGGUGAAAUGACCUAGAUAAAAUUUAACGUUAUUUUACCGUAUUUAUUGCUCGAAGGAAAGAAAACAGUACUUAACAGUAUUUUGGGAACAGAAAGCUGCAGCGAGCACAUGUGGAUUUUCAUCCGUCUUUAUAUUGUGAUUUAACCGUGCUAAAAUCGUCAACGUUCCAACGGCAUCAUAGAUUGGAGCUGGAUAGAUUCAGAUAUCCCCCGAUUACAAGGCAUCUUCCACUGCAGCUGAUGUAGAAAGGACACUUGAACUACCUUCAACUCCUCGACUGAUACUCUUUGGUGAAAAACCAGGAAGCAGAAUUCAUAAAUGGAUGAUUAGUUUUGAGGGGCAAAUAAUCUGUGAGGGCAUCCAGCCAAGUUUUCUGUCUGGACUUGCUGCUGUGUUUUCAACUCUCUACAAUUUCAAUGUGGAGUACCAAGCUGAGGCUGCAUCCACGUUGGAAUUUAUUCAGAGGUGCUUCAUUGGAAUAAAUCCUGAAAAAGGCACCAAGGGUGGACAAGUCCUAUCAAAGCGGACAGGGAAGGUCGGCCACAAAAAGAAAUCAGUCAACACUCGGGUUGCCAGUCUACUUAAGAAGCUAAUGGACUUUGAGUGGGACUUCAUAUAAAUGAACUCACUCAUCCACUGACAUACCACACACACACACACCGUACACAUACUCUUCACACAUGAUAAAAACAUGUUUUUAGUGUGUUUAGUCGCACAAUUUUUUCAGGUGUUCAUUCUUGAAUACCUACAU